GACGUAGGGCGCGAGCGUUGUCCGGAUUUAUUGGGCGUAAAGAGCUCGUAGGCGGCUUGUCGCGUCGAAUGUGAAAUCUCAGGGCUCAACUCUGACAUUGCAUUCGAUACGGGCAGGCUCGAGUUCGGUAGGGGAGUCUGGAAUUCCUGGUGUAGCGGUGAAAUGCGCAGAUAUCAGGAGGAACACCGGUGGCGAAGGCGGGACUCUGGGCCGAUACUGACGCUGAGGAGCGAAAGCGUGGGGGAGCGAACAGG
rnacentral:rRNA from 1 species